AGCGGGGGAUCGUAAGACCUCGCGCUAAUGGAUGAGCCAAGUCGGAUUAGCUUGUUGGUAGGGUAACGGGUCUACCAAGGCCGACGAUCCGUAAUCUGGUCUGAGAGGACGACCAGCCACAUUGGGACUGAGACAGGUCCAAGACUCAUACGGGAGGCAGCAGUGUUGGAAUAUUGGACAAUGGGGGCAACCCUGAUCCAGCGACGCCGAGUGAUGUGCACGAAGGCCUGCGGGUUGUAAAGCACUUUUAGUGGGGAUGAAAAGCUCAGGGUUAACACCUCUGGGUCUUGACCCUAACCCACAGAAAAAGCACCGGUUAACUCUGUGCCAGCAAGCCGCGGUAAUACAGAGGGUGCAAGCGUUAAUCGGAAUUACUGGGCGUAAAGCGUGCGUAGACGGUUACAUAAGUCGGGUGUGAAAAGCCCCCGGGCUCAACCGGGAAUUGCAU
rnacentral:rRNA from 1 species